rnacentral:tRNA from 1 species
AAAUAGGUAAGCUAAAUAAGCUAUUGGGUUCAUACCCCACUUAUAAAGGUUGACCCUUUCCUAUUUA